GAAUUCAGUUCAUUACCUAAUAAGUUGCAAAGCCACCUUGAGAGGAAAAAGUUCUACAAUGUGUAGUUAAAGGGAGAUGAUAAUUUUCAUAGCCUUAGGAUUAGAGAGCUGAUAAUCUUGGUCUGGCACAGUGUUUUUAACAAAUAAACAUUUCUAGAUUCUGGUUCUUUUGAAUGUUUUGGAUAGGAUACUGCACAUUGAAUUAAGUUCAACAGGCAAACUAGUUAGCAGUCUUUCCACCAGAUUGCACAUACGAAACAAAGAUGGUAAUGAGAAUUCUCAGUUCCACAGUUUUCAAAGUAUUUGAAGGCCCCAAUAGAUUUUGGGGACUUUUGAAUUGUUACUCAGUGUGCCUCGCCUAAUUGAUAUGAACUUUGCUGUAGUCUUCUGGUAGCGAUGUGCAUUCUGUAGUCAGUAAGCAUCUCAUCCAUCUCUGCAAAAGUAUUUUCAGUUAACUAACGAACAUAAACAAUGUUGUGGGCAAAAAAAGAAAUCUUUGAGAGUUUAAUACAAGUACUCUGCUAAUGUUACUUUUUAAUACAGUAUAGUAGGACGUCGCUGUAUAGGAAGGCGGGAAUGCUUCAUCUUUUUUAUUUCUCAAGCAAUUAAGAUGCUGUAAUUCAUGCGUAUGGUUUCAGAAAGCUUUAUUGUGAAUCAGUGUGAAUGUCACAUGGACAGUACUGAUAGGCAGUAAUGCUCUUUAGUAGCUGUGUAGCUUCAACAUGUUUGUAGGAUUGAAAUGUAAUCUGUUAGUGUUCUUAUACCCAAUUUUAAACGGGUAAUAAGGUGAAAGUUACUGAAAACAUAAUUACCAUUUUCUCAAUAAUAUAUAUAGGUAUGUGCUAAAAAGGAGUUUGUACUUUUGGCAGAACUGUCCUCUAAGGAUCUGAAGAUUAAAAAUGAUAUUUUGCAAGAAGAUACUUUUGGACCUUUUUAAAGAAAACUUUCUUGAAAGUGAAAGUCGUACUCUUGUUUUUAAUAACCUUUAUUUAAUUGCUCAUCUUAAAUUUUUUGUUUUGAAUUUAAGUCAUGUAGUCUCAAUUUGCAUUUUUCAGGAGGCAGAGAAUUCGCUUCCUCCUCCUACUGUUUAUUUAAUCAUUUUUAAUCAUAUUUAAUCAAUAUUUAAUCAUUAUUACCCUGAACAUAUUUUACUUGCAGUUCUUAUUCAAUUUAUUGGGUUUUAAAUUAUUUUCCUGUAUGAUAGUGGUCAUUCUGGGUGUGGCAAGUUUCAGCGUACCUAGGAAAACUGAAACAUGAUUUGAAUCAUACAUAAUCUAUUGCAGUUCUUAAAUCCUGCUAAGAAACUUUUCCAGCCUUCUCAUGAUUACUCUGGAGCUUUAUAAUACAGCGUUUCUUAUUUUCCUUCAUCAUGUUUUAAAAUAUUGGCAGCUAGAAUAGGUGAAAAUGUUGGUUAGGUCAGUACUGUGUAGAUCUACAAUCCUGUUGUAAGCUUAUGCUGCUGUUGUUCAUACAGAGAUUAUGCCUGCUCUUUUUGCUGCACGUUUACAUGGAAUUUUAUUUGCAUUUUGAUUUUUGCUAAGAUCUAGAUAACUUUUUUUUUACAGUGGUUGCUAUUUCAGGCUAAUUUUCGUAGAUGUAGCAUUACAGUAUGUCUUGUAAGAGUGGAAGUGGCUUGUAGAAUAGUACUGCUCUUAUUCUGUUAAUAUUUACCAUUCCUCUAUCACUUUUGUUCAGUCAUCUGUACGAUUUCCUUUGAAUUUUCAUAUUUUCUUUGAUUAAAAAUGUAAAAGGCAUCAGUUUAUGUAGUGUUUCUUUUUCAUCUGUAAAUCAUGAGGUUCGGGCUCAUUAUUUCUCAGGCCUACUUAGAUGCGUUUUUCUGGUCACAAAAUGUACUUUGAAAUUAUGGUGUAAGAUGUUCUAUUUAAUCUACACUGCUAUUGUAUCUCCUUUGCAGUGAGCGCUAAUGCCAGAUUCUUUCCUAACUAGAUGUUUUAAAAUAGACCACCUCCUUAAGCAAGGAUGUGCGAGUAAAACAGAUCUAAAAAGCACCUACUCAUCUUCCUUGAUUAAGGCAAUUUAUUUUUAUUUUCAGUAUUCCUGAAACUUCAGUGUGUGGUGCUGUUUGGAUUGCUUAAUUAAUCCUGCAUACUGCCCCAUGCUGCUCUGAGUUGGCAUCGGUGGGUGAGAUCGGUUGUCACUGCUGGAAAUGUGUUCUGAAAACUUAAGCCAUGAUUUACACUGAAAUAGCUGUUGUAAUAUUGGUCUUUAGAAUUUGCUUCUUAAUUUUUUUGUGUCUAAUUGAUGCUAUCUUGUGUAACAGGUCAUGGGGUGUGCAUAUUAAAUAUUUUUAAGUGAAUAUCUUGAGUUUGUUGUUUGUGCUGUUAGAUCAUACUUCCUCAGAGAUGUCCUUGCCUCUUCUCCUAGAGGAAUUGCUUUCUUCUUGCAGUUUUGAGAGGCCUCGCUUGUGAAAUGUAUACCGAAGUGUACUUUUAUAGUUUCUUGUGCUUCUUAUAUUGGUUUAUUUCUCCAGGUUUUCAAUGCAAUCUGAUAGUCAAUUAGUUUUAAUACUAAAAAAAAUACCUGCUGAUUUCUUCUUAUGGCCAAAGAAACAGGUAACUUUUUUGAUGUCACGUAUAGUUACUAAGCAUCAGAUUGGCCCUUACAUUUUCAAUUUAAUUGAAGUUGUGGAGCUUUUAUUCUUUUUAAUCUUUUUGAGAGUCUUUGGGAUGUAAAAAAGAAUAAAAAAUUGCAAAGUACAAAAUGAAUAGCUAUGUUGAUACGAAUCUGUAAUAGGUCUUGUUUUUGUUUGGAAUGCUUUGACUAGCACAAUACCCUGCUAGGUGAUGAAAGCAGUGUCAAAAUUUAUCUUCUAAAAAGAGAAAACUUGCAUCCAAUGAUUUGACUUGGAUUUCUUUCAAAGAAACAUUUUUGUGUGUUUUUGAGGGAUAUAUGUGUUCAGUUUGGUUUAUUGCUAGAUCAAAUGGAAAUCAAUUAGCAGCUGAAACAUGCUGUAAAUUCUCAACAGGUAGCUUUGAUAUCUGGAAUGUGUUGAAAACAGCCCUCUGAGCAACACUUGUAUUCUCUUUUUAGUGGUACAGAGUAAUACUAUGCAAUAUCCCUGAUUAAUUUAAUGUUAAAUACUAGUUUGAAUGUGAUGUAUACAUUACAGCAGUUCACCGGUAAUAAAUCUCUCUUCCUUUCCUGUAUUGCAAUUUCAAUAAAGCUGGAAUCUCACACUGAAGUCUGAUGUUAUUAACCUCUUUUUUUUUUUUUUAGGAUGUAAUCAGAAAUCUGAAAUGUUGUGGAUCAACAAAAACACCAUUAUUUUUAUUUUCCUUUUAUAAAAUGCUAGUCUAUUCAGAAAAAAAUAACAGAAAUAGGCUUUGUUGUGUGAAGCAUAAAUUUGAGCUGUAACCACCAGGGGGAGCAUAUUGCAAAGUCAGGACUCAAAAGUGUCUUCUGCUUGUGACUAACACAUUAAUUCACAUUCCCAGUUCUUUUUUUCAUUAGGAAAGAGUGCAUCUGGGAAUUAACAAUCAAUGUUCAAUCUCAGAUAUCAGAAAUAUUGUGUAUUCACUUUAGUUUGUCAGUGUUUGUAUUUCAUAAUAUGAAAACGUGAGUGGUUAGUUAAUCAGUUAAAAUAGGGGGAAACAGAAGUGGGAUUUUCUUUUAAAAUUAAAACAUUGCAAGCUUUUCCUGAUUUGGUUUCAUAGCUUACUGAAGACGCUUCAUAUGUUGGUAGACCACAAACAGAAGAACCUGUAAAUCAGGACCUACAGGAAGGUAGUGCAAGAAAAAUACUUAUUUACAUACUUCCUGCUAUUGUGCAGCAAAACUGAAGCAGUCAGCUAGAAGUCUAUUAAUUUUUAUUUUCACAUGCUUAUGUGAAUAGUUCCAUUGAACUGUGUGGCAGUUCCCAUGGUUGAAGCUAGAGGUUUCUACAUUUGAUUUCCUUGUAUUCACCUAACAGCAGUGACACCAGCUCCAAAUGAUAGAUGAGGUUUUGUGUGUGAGGAGGGAUGCCCCCCAAACCUCUGUACUUUCACUCCCUUAAAUGAGAAAUCCAUGCUGCUACUUCCCAUCCCUAUCACUUCAUCCAUGAUUUUGCACCUAGCUAAGCAGUACACUGACUGGAGAAUGCAGGAGGGACACAAGACCUGUUUUGCUAUGUAUGAAGCCGCCAUGAAGCACAAUGAACAGAAAUGGCUUAUGGAGAGACCUCUAUGAGUUAAGUUAAUCUCUUUAUACAAGCAAAUUUAUAAACUUUACAGAUGUGACAAUUUGAUGUGGUUUGUAUAUGACAUGUGACUGUUGCAGACAGGCUGAAAAUAAUUUAUUUCUGUAGCCCAGCUUCUAGCAGUCCUGAGCAUGUGAGUAUGGAGGCCAGUUAUCUUAAUGUUGAUGCUUAGGAUAUAAAACCGAAUGCUGUUUCAGGGAUGUGUUAAUUUAAUGCAUGUAAUUGUUGUAAAAAGAAACAAAGCUAUUAAUUUGGUAUUUCUGAAUGUACUUUUGUGUUACAUAAUAUACUGAGUUAGAAUGCUGACCAGAAGGGACUGGGAAAACUGUGGAGGGAAAAGUAGUUAAAUAAACCAUGGACACUUUCAGUGUCAAAGCACAGAGCAAAAUACUGACUUACAUUUAAAAAUCAAGCUACAACCGUUUUAUCUCAAUUCACCUAGUGCUGGUUCAGUGAAUAUAAUAUGUUUCAGGGUGUGUAUUGUUGUGCUUCGUUAGUCUUGUUUCAGUGUGAAAUCAUUUGAAAAGCAUAAUCUCAUUAUCUGCUGUUAAUUGUUGAACACUAGGUUGUACUUGUCAAGCUUGAAUUUCAAGACCUAAGCUGGAGAUGUUUCUCUUCUGUAUGCUUUUCUAAUUAGAAGAACAAUAUUUGUUAGACAUCUUAAAAUUGUUAACUUGUAAUUCAGCAUUGAGCCUGCUGAAGUUCAAGAUGCAUUUAGGCAACAUUCUAAGAAACAUGGUUUGAGUUUUGAGUGUUCUUGUGUGGAGCCAGGAGGUUAUGGGGUUGUUGGUUUGGUGGUUGGUUUUUUUUUUGGCUAUUUUACCCCUUUUACAAGUUGUUCUUCUGUUAACUGGAGUGUUAACUUUUAGUGUACAUGAUGUGCGUUUAGAGUGACAUUUCUGUACAUUGCUGUACUCUUAGUGAUAUUGCCUUCAACUAUAAGAUCUUGGAGAUCUAAGGUUACCUUAGGACAUAAAAAAUUUUUGUUUUACUGAGAUCUGAAGGGAAACCUGUAUUUAAGAGUAUUAUGGUGUAUGUAACUUUCUGGGAAGAAAAAAGAGUGCAAGUUACUAUUGUCAGUAGCUGAUGAAAGUUAGACAACUGUGUGUCCUGGUUCUAUUGGAGCUGCAAUGUAUGUGACCUCAUGUUAGAUUUUAGUUAAUCCAAGUACGUGUUUCACACGUGAAUCAGUCUUCACAAUUUCUCUACUUUCAGAACAAAUCAAGGAUUACAGUGCCCCCUACAGCAGCUCUGCUUUUUUUUUUUUUCCCUUGAAUCUUGGGUCAAGCUAGGUGCAAAUACUUGCCAGGUAUACUAUCAGUAAUAAUAAUAGUGGCUUAGAGAAGUCUUUUUUUUUUUUUUUUUUUUAGCAUGGUCUUCAGUUUCUAGUUGACUUGCUUCCCUGCUGUUCAGAGGUUUUCAUCUGUCCUGGAGCUACUCAUUUCUGUUUUAUUAGCACUGGUGCACUGUGAUGUUGGAAAUUGUUGGUUGUGAGAACAGAUAACUCUUCUGAGCAGAAGCUAAAAUCUGAGAGCAGCUGUGAAGGGUAUGCUGAGAUGGCUGUAAUUUCCCCUUCUUGAGCAUUUCUUAUUGAAGCACAUGCUCCUGGACAUGUGAUGGGGAUGUAGCUAUGCAGCUCUUCCCUAGUUGAUUUAAGUGGAGCAGGAAGAGAAACCCAAAACAGGAAAGACUGAUUUAAAUUAAGACAGCACUGGCAUAAGAACAAGUGACCAUAAAUAUGUUAGAACUGAUAGACUUGAAUUCUGUGAGCUUUAAGUCUGGGAAGACCAAGGGUUCAGAGCAAUAUAAUGAAAGAAAUCAUGUCACAUAUUUGUGUAUGAUAAAUUUUUGGACAUAAUAACCUGAGCAUUUCCUCCAGUCUCGUGUCUUCAAUGAAAGCUUCAGUCUAUGGGGAAGUUCUCUCAAAAUUUUAAUGAAAGAUUUCAGUCCAAGUGAUUUUUCCCUUGACCUGUGCAGUUCUUUAGAAGUCUACGAUAUCUAAGUCUCUGCUUUUAUUCCUAGGGGUUUUUACAGAGACUUCUAUGGAUUGUGGAGGUGGUUGAUCUUUUUCUUAAAGAAAAUAGAUUGGAGUGAAAGUGGUAGAGAUGUCCAAGUCCAUGAUUUGGAAGUUUGGGAGACCUGAACGUUUCUCCUCUGCUAACUAUUUCUAGAAAGCAUCCUCCUUCAGGAACACACUUUGGCAUAUGCUUGUCAGCUGUUUACAUGCUAUGACACAGGAAACAUCUUCAAUUCACAGUACUACUCAGAAAAGGUAGUAAGAUUUUUGUGAUGCAGAAAAAAUAUGUGCCUUUUUGAAAAAUAAAGGAAGCAACAGGAACAAAGGAAGCAGAACAAGCAUUAAUGUAUCCUUUUAUAUUUAUUUUUUUCCAGUUAAAAAGCAUUGUAAGUAAUUCAUGUUCAGAUUAGCCACAAGCUUGGCAUUGGCUUAUGCUAUUGGGCUGGUCAGAAAGAUAUCAAAGAUCUUGAAGGAAUUUGUAUGAAGGCUUUAAAAAUUAAUUGGAACAAAGGUAUUUUGAAAAUGGGGAUGAUCUGAGAAAUACUCUAGCCUUAGUCUUGCAUUCUUUCACAGUAUGUAGGAUUGAAGGAACAAACUGUUCCAAAAUACUUUUAUGUUAAAACAGCUGCAAGAAGAAUUUAGAUUUCUUACUGAAGAAGAGAUUGAAAAUUGUAAAUGUUUCCAGCUGCUGUGAUUUAGGAGCACUACAGUUAAAUUUCUGCUCUUUUUAAUGUGUAUACCUGUGUUUGUAGGAAGACUUGAACAUAUAUGAGACAAAAUGUAUUAAUGUUAUUCUCUUGCUUUUUUUCAGUGUCUAAAUACAACUUUUCUGUUCCUUUAUAUGCUCACAUAGCAGAGAAUUUAGUCCAUUCUUGUAUGAUAAUACUGAAAGUCAGGCUUAUGUCAUGACUGUUUUGAAAGAGUAUCUUUUUACUUAUGCAGUUCAAAGUAAACUGAUUUCUCUUAAGUGAAACAGAUACUUGUAAUAUCAUGUUUUGGACAACAUUGCUUACUGAUGUCUUAAAAUAUUGCUUUGACCUCAGGAAAAGAAAAAUAAUUCAUGUUUUACUAUUUGUAAUUUUUUUGCUAGAUCACAAAAUAGUGUUUUCCUUAAUAGUACUGCAUGCUUUAUUUUCUGAUCCUGGUUUAGUUUAUCAACCCUCUUUUUGAUCUUAAGAAUCCAUUUGAAAUUAGGUGUAACAUCGGGGGGGGAAUAUUGAAGACAUGGGCUUCAAGAUAGUCCUGCCAGAGACCACACAGCUUUCUAUUGCAAACAUAAAGUUAGUAUGAAGAGAUAGUGAAGAAGGGAAAUUGUCUGUAAAAUGCUCUAAAGAGUUUCAAUCAGCAUUGUUUUUUAAUAUCAGUUCUGUUUAUGUUCAUCUACAAUACUUCCCCUCUCUCCCUUUUACUUUCAUAAACUCGUGGCUUCAUUCAUAUUUGUUUUUUAGAUGAUGUUUUUUUUUUUUUUCCCCAGCAGUAUGAAACGACAGGAGUCAUGAAUGGUAGAGGUAGAUUCUGUUGUGACACAGAGAAUGAAUUCAGCUGACUUCCUAAGAAAGGUUAUAAUACAGUGGUGGGUCAAUGUUGCCCUUUAAUUUUGUAGUUUUAGAUUUUGAAGAGCCCAUUUGUGAGUAAGUGGACUAGCAAUUAAUGUCACAGGUGUAUGCCUAGUACUUAUUUGAUAGGUGCUAAUUUUCAAUCUCUGUACCUAGCUCUGAAACUCAGCUAGUGCCAUAAACUUAAACAUCUGUAUCUGUCGUAUUCAAACUGUGAGAGAGAUGGAGGUAGGUGAUAUUAACAGUGCUUUCUAGGAGAUUAGAAGACUUUUUUCACACUUUUUUUUUUUUUAAUGGAUCACAUCAUAUAUCCCAUGAAACAUCAUGGGACUUCAUGCUGAGCUGUCAUUAUUUUUAAUGAAAGAUGAAAUUCUGAGACAGAGCAAGAGUCAGCAGAGGCAAUGGCACUCCAUUUAAACAUUUCUGGUUUGGGGAAAGAAGUCUGGGUUCUUCACAGUGAUCAACUUGUCAGUUACAAUUUGGAAUUUCCAAGCAAAUCUGAAAUUGUGUGGAAUAUUUUUGGUGCUGAAAAUCUAGUUUGACUGUCUUCAAUAAGCUAUGAGAUAUGAACUUCUGUCUCUUUAUCAUUUAUUUUAAUUAAAGAAAACCUGUAGCUCUUAGUAAUUUUAAGAAUUGGAUAUCAUGAUGAAAUAUGUAUCACAUGCCUAAUAAUUAGUUAUGUUUUGUUUCUGCCAUUUACAUCCAGUUCAUCAAGAUUCAUCCUCCUAUAAUUGUCUUUUGUUAUGCCUGUAUCUACUUGUUUAGGACCCUGUAUUAGAUACAUUAAUUUUGAGGAUUUUGUUAGUAACACUCUUUGUGUUUAUAAUGUUAAAUUGAGUUUGUCCACUCUGUCUUUAGAAUCUAGGAUUUAUUGUAAAUUCCUCUCACAACUUCUUGAAGCUUUUCUAUUCCUUAAAUUCAUAGAUUAGAGAUUUUUUUAAAUACAUUAAAUAUUUUCAUUGUACUUUGUCUUUAUGCCAAGAUUAGUACUGACUUUCUUGGUUCUUAAACUUUAUGCUGAGGAUGGGUGUAUUUUGGGAGUUUCUAGCUUUUGUAGUCUAUUUUCAUGGAGACUUUCUGCAGUUUCCUGCCAGUGUAUAUGCUUUUCUUUAUUGUUGCUCUGAGAGCCAGAAAAAAAGAAAAUAGCAUGGAUUCCUGAGCCAUACAGUAACCUUAAGUGGAAAUAAAACCAGUGAUGUCAACUACUACUCAAACAGCUGGCACAAAUAUUGAUAAUAACCCAUGAACAACUGACACAAAAUAUUGUUUCUUAUUUACCUAACAAAAACAUACUGCAUAUGAAGUGUUUAGCAAAAUUAAACGUAUGUCCAUCACAUCAUGAAAAUUUAUUGAGAAUUAACUGCUUUACUGUAUAGAAAAGUCUUUCAUUUUCUGCAUUUAGUCAGACCUACUUGCUGAGUGGAAGGCACAAGAAAUCCUUUCAUGGAUACCUGUUCACUAAUUUGCAUUAAGAGGUAUUUCUUCUUUACCUCUUUGUACUGGCUUAAAUCCUGAAUUAUUUCAUUAUCUACGUAAAUGCUUAAUCUCUUGAAAAUCCUGCUAAGCUCUUGCCUUCAUUGAAAGCUGUGAUAAUUUGUUGUAGUUAUUUCUGUAUUUAAAUAUAUUGUUUUCAGGUUCUGUGAUAUGUUCUUAUAUUUUCCUUUUUAAUAAAGUAGAAGUACCAAUUUCA